rnacentral:rRNA from 1 species
GCUAGCGUUGCUCGGAAUGACUGGGCGUAAAGGGCGCGUAGGCGGAUGGCACAGUCAGAUGUGAAAUUCCCGGGCUUAACCUGGGGGCUGCAUUUGAUACGUGUUGUCUUGAGUUCGGAAGAGGGUCGUGGAAUUCCCAGUGUAGAGGUGAAAUUCGUAGAUAUUGGGAAGAACACCGGUGGCGAAGGCGGCGACCUGGUCCGACACUGACGCUGAGGCGCGAAAGCGUGGGGAGCAAACAGG